rnacentral:rRNA from 1 species
UGGGGAAUUUUGGACAAUGGGGGCAACCCUGAUCCAGCAAUGCCGCGUGAGUGAAGAAGGCCUUCGGGUUGUAAAGCUCUUUUGUCAGAGAAGAAACGGUAGUAGCGAAUAACUAUUACUAAUGACGGUACCUGAAGAAUAAGCACCGGCUAACUACGUGCCAGCAGCCGCGGUAAUACGUAGGGUGCAAGCGUUAAUCGGAAUUACUGGGCGUAAAGCGUGCGCAGGCGGUUGUGUAAGUCAGAUGUGAAAUCCCCGGGCUCAACCUGGGAAUUGCAUUUGAGACUGCACGGCUAGAGUGUGUCAGAGGGGGGUAGAAUUCCACGUGUAGCAGUGAAAUGCGUAGAUAUGUGGAGGAAUACCGAUGGCGAAGGCAGCCCCCUGGGAUAACACUGACGCUCAUGCACGAAAGCGUGGGGAGCAAACAGGAUUAGAUACCCUUGUAGUCCCUGAGCGGGCUGGCAAGGCGCAU